AGUGAACGCUGGCGGCGUGCCUAACACAUGCAAGUCGAAGGAAGUGGCGCACGGGUGAGUAAUAUAUAGCUACCCUGUCCCUUGCUGGCGGAUAACACUUAGAAAUGUCUCCUAUUACUCCACAGCAAGGGAUGAGACUCUAUCGUAUCAGCUAGUCGGUGGGGUAACGGCCUACCGAGGCUAUGACGCGUAACUGGUCUGAGAGGAUGAUCAGUCACAUUGGAAGUGAGACACGGUCGGGACUCCUACGGAAGGGAGCAGAAGGGAAUAUAGCGCAAUGGGGGGAGCGCUGACGGGGCAACGCGGCGUGAAGGAUGACACUUGGCGGAGAGGGAACUCCUUUUGAUAGGGAGGCGGUACCGAACGAAUAAGCACCGGCUAACUCCGUGCCAGCAGCCGCGGUAAUAC
rnacentral:rRNA from 1 species